rnacentral:rRNA from 1 species
UACAGAGGGUGCAAGCGUUGUUCGGAAUUACUGGGCGUAAAGCGCGUGUAGGCGGUUUGGUAAGUCAGACGUGAAAUCCCUCGGCUUAACCGAGGAACUGCGUCUGAUACUGCCAAGCUUGAGUGUCAGAGGGGAUGGCGGAAUUCCCGGUGUAGAGGUGAAAUUCGUAGAUAUCGGGAGGAACACCUGUGGCGAAGGCGGCAUCUGGAGGACUACUGACGCUGAGACGCGAAAGCGUGGGGAGCAAACAGG